UACGGGGGGUGCAAGCGUUAUCCGGAUUCACUGGGUUUAAAGGGUGCGUAGGCGGGCAUGUAAGUCCGUGGUGAAAUCUCCGAGCUUAACUCGGAAACUGCCAUGGAUACUAUGUGUCUUGAAUGUUGUGGAGGUGAGCGGAAUAUGUCAUGUAGCGGUGAAAUGCUUAGAUAUGACAUAGAACACCAAUUGCGAAGGCAGCUCACUACACAAAUAUUGACGCUGAGGCACGAAAGCGUGGGGAGCAAACAGG
rnacentral:rRNA from 1 species